rnacentral:rRNA from 1 species
UUUUUUAUAAAAGUAAUUUAUUUAUUUUAAGUUUUAGUAUUUAGUAAAAAUUAAUUUUUAGAUUUAUAGUUUAAUAGUAUUGUAAAAGAAUUAUUUAAAUUUGAAAAAGAAUAUUUUUAGUACCUUUUGUAUCAGGGUUAAUUAAAAUUUUUAAUUUUUUUUUAAAUUCUCAAAAUUUAUAGAGUUAAUUUUAUUAUUAAUUUAUUGUGUUAUAAAUAUUUAUAAAAUAAUAUUGGUUUUGAAAUUUAAUUCGUUAUAUUAUAUUUAGUUAUUUAAGAUUUAAAUUUAAUUUAAAAUUUUAAAAGUUAUUUUGAUUUUAUAUAUUAAUAUUUUAAAUUUAAAUUAUUUUAGGGAUAAGCUUGAAAUUUUUAUAUAAUAAUUUAUUUAUUUUAAUAAUUUAUAGGAAUAGAAAUUUUUAUUUUAAGUUUGUAAAAAUUUAUUAUUUGUUUAGUUUUAAUUUAUUAUAAUUUUAUUUAUUUUUUUUAUUAAAUUUUAUUAAUUAAUAUUUAAUUUUUAGUAAUAAUGAUUAAAUUAGUAUAAUGUAUAUUUAUAAAUUAUGAAUUCGGCAAAAAUUAUUUUCAUCUGUUUAACAAAAACAUUGUAUUAAGUUUAAUUUAAUAUAGGAUCUGCUCAAUGAUUUAUUAAAUAGCUGCAGUAUUUUGACUGUGCAAAGGUAGCAUAAUAAUUAGUCUUUUAAUUGAGGACUUGUAUGAAAGAUUUGAUGAGAAAUAAACUUUAUUAUUUAUAUAAUUAAAAUUUUAUUUUUAAGUAAAAAAGCUUAAAUUAUUUAAAGGGACGAUAAGACCCUAUAAAACUUUAUAAAUAGUAAUUUUAAUUUUUUUGGAUUAAUAAAUAUUUUAAUUUUAUUAUUUAUUUUAUUGGGGUGAUAAAAAAAAUUAUUAAACUUUUUUUAAAAUUUUACAUUAUUUAGUGAAUAGUUGAAUUAAAAUUUUUAAUUAAAGGAAAAAGUUACUUUAGGGAUAACAGCGUAAUUAAUUUUUUAAGUUCAAAUUUAAAAAUUAGUUUGCGACCUCGAUGUUGAAUUAAGAUUAAUCUUAGGUGCAAAAUUUUAAGUAUUAGGUCUGUUCGACC